GUUUUAAGCAUGUGCCUACUUUAGAUUGUCUUUUUUCUUUUAUUGGUUUUGUUAAAAAAAAAAAAAGGACAUUUAUUUCCCACACAAUCACAAAAAGGAAAGAAAGAAAGAAAAAGCUUGGCAAAGCAAUAUUUUGUAUUCAUUUCAGGAACUCUCAACCUGAUCGAGAAAAAUGAUGGAACAUCUUCUCGUCUUCAGGUGCCCAAGACGUAUUUAGUCCCUGAGAAUCGUCCUAAGAGAGGCAUUUUCCGGUUAGCCUGCAGCUUCAGGAAGACCCGGCACAGGAGAGAGGCUGGCAGAGCUGAAAGCUCAGAGGAUGACAUCGGACUUGCCGGGGCGCGUAGAGGACAGUGCUGGGCUGCUGAGUGAACACAAACAAUGGAGCUUACCCAAGAAGAAUGUUGAAAGUUGCCCUUGGUUGUUUCACCCAAGUUCAUCCGGCUGUUGAGAAGUGGCAGAGGAAAUAUGUCAGCCAGUGGUGUUGACAAAUGUUGGUUUACGGAGAGUUCGGCCAAGUUCAGAGGAUAUUUGACACGCAUGGCUCGCCACCCGCUUCUCAGGACCGGGAAAAAGGAACCACAAAUAUCUCAUCAUGUCCCUAUGCCUUGGUCUCCUCAUCUGUAAAAGAGAGUGACAAAGAACUAGCUCACCAUGUUUGAGGAUGCAGCAAGCUGAUUGGCCUUUGGGUUUCCGUGUUUCAGGACUCUUUGGGCCACAGGAUUGAAAGCAGGAGUUCUUCAAGAUCGUUCUCUCUCCCUUUCUGGCCUGGCAUUAGAGAAGAUUGUGCUAAUGGAGGAAGGAGGCAGCCGGGGGAGGCUGGGGAGCAGAAGGUGAGAGAAGGGGAGGGGGCAGAAAGCAGGCUGGAGAGGUUCUCUCAGACCUGAACUGUCCAGGUCCUUACUCCCUUCCCUCCCAGGGCCCCAGGGAGGAGGCAGAGCUUCCCUGGACCCAUGGACCCCCAUCUUCUGCAGAGGCCACGGCCCAGGAACAGGUGAGCGGCUGGCCUGUCAGGACCUUGGGCUGUGAGAACAUCAAUACCCAGAGGCCCUUCCAUGACCCCCAGGUGGGUAGUGCCACUGUGCUUCCAGGAUGAGCCUCGCUCACUU
rnacentral:lncRNA from 1 species